CCCUUAGAUGUUCUGGGCCGCACGCGUGCUACACUGAGUGGAUCAGCGGGUCAGGUUGCGCGAAAGUGUUUCCUAAUCUUUAAAUCCGCUCGUGAUGGGGAUUGACGGUUGCAAUUUUCCGUCAUGAACGAGGAAUACCUUGUAAGCGCGGGUCAUCAUCCCGCGCUGAAUACGUCCCUGCCCUUUGUACACACCGCCCGUCGCUCCUACCGAUUGAAUGUGUUGGUGAGGAGCUCGGAUUGGCAGCAGUUGGUGGUUCGCCACCGGCUAUUGCUGAGAAGUCCUCCAAACCGCCCCAUUUAGAGGAAGGAGAAGUCGUAACA
rnacentral:rRNA from 1 species